rnacentral:miRNA from 1 species
UAUGAGCCCUCAUGACAUUCUUG